rnacentral:rRNA from 1 species
GACGAACGCUGGCGGCGUGCUUAACACAUGCAAGUCGAGCGGUAAGGCCCUUUCGGGGGUACGACGAGCGGCGAACGGGUGAGUAACACGUGGGUGACCUGCCUUUAGUCUCUGGGAGUAAGCCUGGGAAACGUGGGUCUAAUACCGGAUAUGACCCUAUGGCGCAUGUUGUGGGGUGGAAAGCCUUGUGCGGCUAGGGAUGGGCCCGCGGCCUAUCAGCUUGUUGGUGGGGUGAUGGCCUACCAAGGCGACGACGGGUA